GUAAAGGUUUAUUUUAGUGAACAAAUCACAGUUAUGAGUUAUAAAUGUAAUAUGGAACCAGAAAUGUACUGGAUAAAAGUAGAAAUGGUGCUUUGAGACUUUUUGUAGUGAAAUACGUACCUCAUCUUUACCUUACAAAACACAAACCUCCAGCUGUGCAUAUAACUGUCCUUAUAGUUUCACAAGACACUAACAGUAUAUCAGAACAUGUGCUAUGGUACUAUUUUAAGAAAUGAGAAUGUUUUAGGUUAAAAAUGUUUCAGCAAUCAAAGCAAACUUCCAGAAAUAUGGCUUUUAAAUAGAUAUCUGGACUGUUUGAAAUAUCAA